CGGACAGAUCACGUUGAAACACCGAUUCUCGUACGAUAACCGAGGUUAAGCAACGUCGAUCCUGGUCAGUACCUCGAUGGGUGAGCGCCUAGGAAUACCUGGUGCUGU